GGGGGGGUUACAUGGGCAUGAUGCUGUCCUGUGACCCAGACUCCCGUUUUGUCCUUUUUAAUUAUUAUUUGGUUUACACAAUAUACAACACUGAAAUAGCCCGGAAAACAUGUCUCUCUGCAUUUUUAUUUCAAUAUAUAUUUUAUGGGGUGCAUAACUUGACCCCCCCCCCCCCCCAUGAACUUCACUUGCCAGUCUACCCUCACACUGUAUAAAUUCCUGUACACAUGCCCAUAUUCAAUGCUCUACAUUUGUAAAAUGUAAUAAUUUUACCAACCUUUUUCCAGCGACAAUGAGCAGUUUGGUUACUGUGAUACCCCCACCAUUCAGACUGUUUUGUAUGCAGCUGAUGUGAGUGGAUAAUACGAACUGGUAAAAAUAUUUUUUUUUUAUCAUGUUUGGGGGACUGGAAGCCACAUUGUUGGUACAUGUUUUUCCUGUUGGCCGUAAAUGUGUAUUACAUCCAAUGAUCCAUCCAUCCAUCCAUCCAUCUACACACACACACACACGAGAUAUAAUGAUACUUGGGUCACAAUACAAUACGCAUCACAAUACUUAACUUUUCACAUCAAUCAUCGAUAAUUAAACUGUUUAUUUGAAGUUUAUGAAACAUAAUAACCUUAAUUAAAAUUUAAAACAUGACACAUACUGCAUUACAGGAUAGUUUUAUUGGCACCAGACAAUGAAAUUGAAAUGUUUCGAAAUACAAAGUGGAAGUCUUCAAAAAAAGAAGAAAAAAAAGUAACAUGCUUGUUCAAUGCAGUUCAAUGGAAUUUCAGGUUUUUCUUGAGAAAAUUCAACUUGUUAACAUGUUUAGGUUUCAGAUGGUACAGACGUACAGGGAACACACACACCUUUUUGUUUAAUAAAUUUUGUAAACAAAAAAUAAACCUAUGGUGUACGUGAUGAUAUAAAUAUCGAAGACAGUCUGACUAUUAAUAGACACAUCAAAUGCUGGGAAAUGCAGCAAAUGAACAUCAUAAUUACUUUUUCAUUGCUCUACUGUAUAUGUUCGUAUGUUUGUAAAUAUCUGCUUCAACCUUUUCACCAAAAAGUAUUAAAACAUGAACGUAUCAUAUUGUAUCAUGAUACUCCUGUCCUGAAUCGAUGUACCUUAUUGUGGCCAUUAUCGCGAUUUGAUAUUGUAGCACUAUAUUGUUACAGCUGUAACACACGCACGUACAUCAGGGAACAUUUUGUUUUCAAAAUGUUGAUUAGCAAUAUUUCUAGUCAACUAAACAUUUAUUAGCAAUUAUUAUUUAAUUUUUGAAAAUUGUGUAGCGAUCCCUGAAACUAUUACAGUGAAUCGCGAUGCGAUACUGAACAGAAUGUUGCCUGUACACACACACACACACCCACACCCACACACGUGUGCACUUGCAAUAAUAAAAUCAGGCAGGUAAUCAUAUUACCAACAUUUUCCAGCGACAAUGAGCAGUAUCUUUACUGUGAUACCCCCACCUUUCAGACUGUUUUGUAUGCAGCUGAUGUGAGUGGAUAAUACAAACUGGUGAAAAUAACCAUUUUUAUCAUGUUUGGGGGACUGGAAGCAUACAUUGUUUCUUUUAUUACUCUGUAUUCCAGUAUUGUCCCCAUCCCAUACUUGCUGUGAUAAUACAUGUAAUGAUUUUGUAUUAAAGUGACAUCACUACACAGGUAUGAUAGGUCUUUCAAUACUUUUAUACAGGUACAUACAAAUGAAUUGCAAGAAAUUAUGUAUUAACUUUUGUUAUCUAAACAUUACAGUGAAAGCCAUUCUCAAACACGUACCACUGAUCAGAUUAGGAAGAAAUUCCAGAAUUUGAAACAAAGAGCCAAGGAAAAAAAUGACUUAUUGAAAAGACCGAAGACUGGUGGUGGGUCCCCAUUGCCACCACUGACAAAAAUAAAUUGCCUAUUUUUGGAUUUUUUGGGGAGAAGGAGGGAAUAUCUGGAGUCAAUGGAGGGAUUGACAGCACUGGUAAGUGAAAUGAAUGAAAUCACUGAAGAAGUAUGUACAAAGAACCCAUAUCAUUACCACGGUUCUGCCUAAUAAGACAGUACUUUUCUUUUCCUUUCAAAAUAGUAGGCAACAAUAUCAGUAGCAACAGUGGUGGUCAGAACUUUAUAAAACCUGUGAGGUAAGACCACUGUGGGCACUGGACAUAACCUUACAUUACAUGUGUUUCUAGCACAUUGUGGAUAUCAACAUACAUAAUAAAAUAAAAUGUCUUUAUUCAAUUUCAUGUAAAUUAUACACAUUUAUAUUCGGAAUGUAAAAUGUAUAUUAAAAAUAUCCCUACUUAAACCUGUUUGGGGAAGUUAUAAUUUCACAUCAUGUUGUCACAUCAAAGAAAAAAAAAAUCAUACAUGUUAUAAUAAUUGUCAUUUUGAAACCAAUACUGCAGUCAUUUACCAUAAUUAUGUACGGUGCAUUUGUGUUUGCAAAAGGUGUCAUCGAGCAAGAGCAAGAAGACUCGUGUCGGUCUCUAGAAUUGGAACAUGGUAAUGCACAAUUUUUCAGUAAAGAUACAUGUAUGUGUAGCAGUUACAAAAACGUUUCCCAACAAAGACUUAAACAUUUUACAGAUUUCUCAACGAUUCAUGACUUCAGAAAUUAUUAAUUCAUUGAAAUGACAAUAAAAUACUACCUGUAAUCACGGAUAAUCAUUGUUUGUGCACAUUGUUGUUAUUUAUUUCACUUAAAGUGAAUAUAUAUGUGUUAUGGACUUUGCCGAUUUCCACAGUUUGUGUAAGCUUUUUGUUAUUCAUACCCUGAUGAACCAAACUGAAAUCAAUGUUUAUUUGUUGUCUUUUAAAAAUCUUUUCAGAUUUGGAUGUCACUGGAAAUGAAGUGCAGCCUAUACAUGUAGAGGAUGAUGGUAUCCAUUUUGUAUUAUUCCUAACAAUUAAAUAACUUAUUAAAGUAAAUAAAUGCCAAGAUAUCAUGACUAAAUAAAUUUCUGUAUUUCCAAAUGCAUGUGUGGUACCUCAUUUCUUGAAUAUACUUGUUAUACCUUGUUUACACUGUUUAUUAGUCAUAUUAAACUUUACUUGUACAAUGGCAUGGGGUCUAAUGCAAAUCAGCAAUAACAUUACUGGUGAUUACGUACAAACAGGCAAAUAACCAAAAUGUCUUGUAGACAUUUUUUUGAAUUUUCAAACAUGUUUUUCUUUUUAUGUAUAAAAAACCAUAAUAUACAAAACUUUAUACUUAUAUAAUUAUUCAUACAACUUAUAGCACAAAUACAUUUUUCAUUUCAGAAGCUGAUGUACAAAAGACUGUACCUGCGAAGAACUUGAAACAUUCAAAUAUGAAAACAGGUAGUAAAGAGCUGCUACAACUGGAUAUGGAUGUCUGCAAUUUA